UACGUAGGGUGCGAGCGUUGUCCGGAAUUAUUGGGCGUAAAGAGCUCGUAGGCGGUGUGUCGCGUCGGCCGUGAAAACCUGCAGCUUAACUGUGGGCUUGCGGUCGAUACGGGCAUCACUGGAGUUCGGCAGGGGAGACUGGAAUUCCUGGUGUAGCGGUGAAAUGCGCAGAUAUCAGGAGGAACACCGGUGGCGAAGGCGGGUCUCUGGGACGGUACUGACGCUGAGACGCGAAAGCGUGGGGAGCAAACAGG
rnacentral:rRNA from 1 species